AUAAAAGUUCGUUUUACCUCGCGGAGAACGAUUGGCCGGUGAGGCUUCCAAAACACUGAUAAAAAAAAAAUUUUGUGCGUGAGUCGGUCGUGAGUCGAUCGUGAGAAGGCAAAACGCGGUGAAUUUGUUGCUUGAAAAAGCCUCGUGCGGCGUUGGCAGCAGCCAUUUUGUUUAACCUGCGGUGACGCCGGGUGUGUGUGUGCAGAUCUCGCUGGUCGGUGGUUUGACGGUAGGUGCUGUGACGUAGCCGACGGGAACGAGAGUGCAAAUCUUCCGGGAAGUUCCGGGUGCUGGAUAUUUCGACCGGUGGGAGAAUUUCGGCUGGAUUUUGCUGUGUUGCGGCAGGGCGUUUUUGACCAGGGCCGGCAAUUGCUGCUCGACGUGGUGGUUUGGUUGUGAUCUUGCGGAGCUACGGAGGACCGGUUCGGGAAAUUUCGAGCCUCGUGUGGAUUUUGAGGUUAGGUGUCCAUUCCACUUGUGGAGUACUAGCAAAAGCUGGCAAAGGCCGGGCACGUGGUCGGUGUCGGCUGGAAGCGCGGUGUGGUUAGCGCAUCGCGGUCAGCUUAAACCACAUUACCAGCAACAAGGCGAACGGCCGAACCUGAUGACGCCGUUUGAGAAGUCUGCGCCGGACGCGGCAGUGGUGGAUUUGGACGUGGAGAUGCUGAAUUUAGACGAAGAUAUGUUGGGGGCCGGAUACGGUGGAAGCGGCUUGUUCCGGGGUUUCCCGGAGGCUGCAACAGCACGAUCCAGAAGCCGGAAGCGAGACGCAUCCGCGGCAGAAUUGCCGGCGGUUUGCCUUAGGCGCUCGAAGAGAAUUAAGAAGCCUGUGGUGAAUAGUGAAUUUAUCUAUAGAUAAUAAUUUUACGAUUUCUGAACACUUAGUUCUUUCUCAUCAU
rnacentral:misc_RNA from 1 species